rnacentral:rRNA from 1 species
GCAAGUCGAGGGGUAACGGAAGUAGCUUGCUACUAGACGACGACCGGCGCACGGGUGAGUAACGCGUAUGUAAUCUGCCUUGUACAGAGGGAUAGCCCAGAGAAAUUUGGAUUAAUACCUCAUAGUAUUACUGGAUCGCAUGAUUUGGUAAUUAAAGCUCCGGCGGUACAAGAUGAACAUGCGUGACAUUAGCUAGUUGGUAAGGUAACGGCUUACCAAGGCUACGAUGUCUAGGGGUUCUGAGAGGAUGAUCCCCCACACUGGUACUGAGACACGGACCAGACUCCUACGGGAGGCAGCAGUGAGGAAUAUUGGUCAAUGGACGCAAGUCUGAACCAGCCAUCCCGCGUGAAGGAUGACUGCCCUAUGGGUUGUAAACUUCUUUUAUAUGCAAAUAAACCUACUUUCGUGAAAGUAGCUGAAGGUAGCAUAUGAAUAAACACCGGCUAACUCCGUGCCAGCAGCCGCGGUAAUACGGAGGGUGUAAGCGUUAUCC